GAUAAACGCUGGCGGCGUGCCUAAUACAUGUAAGUCGAACGAGGAGCUUUUGUAGCAAUACCGAAGUUUCCUAGUGGCGAAUGGGUGAGUAACGCGUUGGUGACCUGCCCCUAAGUGAGGGAUAACAGUUCGAAAGGACUGCUAAUACCACAUGUGGUCAGUGGGUUUAGAAGCCAUUGACUAAAGAAGCAAUUCGCUUGGGGAGGGACCUGCGUCCCAUCAGCUAGUUGGCGGUGUAAUGGACCACCAAGGCGACGACGGGUAGCUGGUCUGAGAGGAUGAUCAGCCACACUGGGACUGAGACACGGCCCAGACUCCUACGGGAGGCUG
rnacentral:rRNA from 1 species